GAUGAACGCUAGCGGGAGGCCUAACACAUGCAAGCCGAGCGGUAUUUGUUCUUCGGAACAGAGAGAGCGGCGCACGGGUGCGGAACACGUGUGCAACCUGCCUUUAUCUGGGGGAUAGCCUUUCGAAAGGAAGAUUAAUACCCCAUAAUAUAUUGAGUGGCAUCACUUGAUAUUGAAAACUCCGGUGGAUAGAGAUGGGCACGCGCAAGAUUAGAUAGUUGGUGAGGUAACGGCUCACCAAGUCAAUGAUCUUUAGGGGGCCUGAGAGGGUGAUCCCCCACACUGGUACUGAGACACGGACCAGACUCCUACGGGAGGCAGCAGUGAGGAAUAUUGGACAAUGGGGUAGCGCCUGAUCCAGCCAUCCCGCGUGAAGGACGACGGCCCUAUGGGUUGUAAACUUCUUUUGUAUAGGGAUAAACCUACUCUCGUGAGAGUAGCUGAAGGUACUAUACGAAUAAGCACCGGCUAACUCCGUG
rnacentral:rRNA from 1 species